ACAUUGGUGGUUCAGUGGGAGAAUACUCAUCUUUCAUGAGACAGACCUAUGUUCGAUUCCUGGCCAAUGUU
rnacentral:tRNA from 1 species